GACGUAGGGGGCCAGCGUUGCUCGGAAUUACUGGGCGUAAAGGGUUCGUAGGCGGUGUGGCAAGUCGGUAGUGAAAUCUCCAGGCUUAACUUGGAGGCUGCUGCCGAAACUGCCGUGCUAGAGUACGGGAGAGGCGAGUGGAAUUACAGGUGUAGCGGUGAAAUGCGUAGAUAUCUGUAGGAACACCCGUGGCGAAGGCGGCUCGCUGGACCGUUACUGACGCUGAGGAACGAAGGCCAGGGGAGCAAACGGG
rnacentral:rRNA from 1 species